AUGUGGGGGGGGUGAGCCCCCUCCAACUCUGCCUGCUUCUCCCGGAAGUGGAGCUUUCACUCCGAAUUGUUGCUCUGCCCCGUAGCUCGGGGGGCGCUUUCGGAAAGGGGAGGGAGGAGGCAGGUGACCCCCCCCCCCGUGGAUGUUGCAGGAAAGGAGAAUCGGGAGCGAGGAGAAAGAGGCAGUGUCAGAGUGACUGACAAGCUGAGAUACAACCCAUCAGCAUCCGAUGACAGUGACUGCAUGAAUCUUUCCAGUCAAAGGACCCAUUUUCAUGAUAGACAGUGCCUGGGGCUGGAGGCUCUACACACCGGGUGUGCCUGUGCAGGCCAAAGACUGCCAGUAUUAGCACAGGGCCUGCCUUCACCUCAACAGAAUUCCCUAAUACACCAAGGAUUUGAGAACAGCCAGGUUUUGCCAGCCAGUUGAAGCCUUUCCUGGGAUUGUGGCUUCUGGAAGAAACAGGAUUCCCUUUCUUCCCACUCUGAAGAAGGAGAUGGAGAAGAGAGUCAAAACUCCAGGGGAUUGGGUACCUUUCCCCCCCAUUAGGAAUAGAAAUUAAAAUGUGUGAAAUGUG